AAGACGAGCGCCCAAGAAUACAAGCAUGGCUACAACACUCCCAGCGCGGAUCCAUGCAAGUAUUGCACGUGCGUAGAUGGCAAGGUGGAAUGCGAAGACUACACGUGUCCAAAACUCACGUGCGCGGAAUACGACCGGAUUAAACCGAACGGAAAAUGCUGCCAAGUGUGUAAAGAAAAGAAACCGUGCAAAAAUGGACCAUAUGGCAAAGAUUACGAUGAUGGU